rnacentral:rRNA from 1 species
AGAGUUUGAUCCUGGCUCAGAUUGAACGCUGGCGGCAGGCCUAACACAUGCAAGUCGAGCGGUAGCACAGAGAGCUUGCUCUCGGGUGACGAGCGGCGGACGGGUGAGUAAUGUCUGGGAAACUGCCUGAUGGAGGGGGAUAACUACUGGAAACGGUAGCUAAUACCGCAUAAUGUCGCAAGACCAAAGUGGGGGACCUUCGGGCCUCAUGCCAUCAGAUGUGCCCAGAUGGGAUUAGCUAGUAGGUGGGGUAACGGCUCACCUAGGCGACGAUCCCUAGCUGGUCUGAGAGGAUGACCAGCCACACUGGAACUGAGACACGGUCCAGACUCCUACGGGAGGCAGCAGUGGGGAAUAUUGCACAAUGGGCGCAAGCCUGAUGCAGCCAUGCCGCGUGUGUGAAGAAGGCCUUCGGGUUGUAAAGCACUUUCAGCGGGGAGGAAGGCGGUGAGGUUAAUAACCUCAUCGAUUGACGUUACCCGCAGAAGAAGCACCGGCUAACUCCGUGCCAGCAGCCGCGGUAAUACGGAGGGUGCAAGCGUUAAUCGGAAUUACUGGGCGUAAAGCGCACGCAGGCGGUCUGUCAAGUCGGAUGUGAAAUCCCCGGGCUCAACCUGGGAACUGCAUUCGAAACUGGCAGGCUAGAGUCUUGUAGAGGGGGGUAGAAUUCCAGGUGUAGCGGUGAAAUGCGUAGAGAUCUGGAGGAAUACCGGUGGCGAAGGCGGCCCCCUGGACAAAGACUGACGCUCAGGUGCGAAAGCGUGGGGAGCAAACAGGAUUAGAUACCCUGGUAGUCCACGCCGUAAACGAUGUCGAUUUGGAGGUUGUGCCCUUGAGGCGUGGCUUCCGGAGCUAACGCGUUAAAUCGACCGCCUGGGGAGUACGGCCGCAAGGUUAAAACUCAAAUGAAUUGACGGGGGCCCGCACAAGCGGUGGAGCAUGUGGUUUAAUUCGAUGCAACGCGAAGAACCUUACCUGGUCUUGACAUCCACAGAACUUAGCAGAGAUGCUUUGGUGCCUUCGGGAACUGUGAGACAGGUGCUGCAUGGCUGUCGUCAGCUCGUGUUGUGAAAUGUUGGGUUAAGUCCCGCAACGAGCGCAACCCUUAUCCUUUGUUGCCAGCGGUCCGGCCGGGAACUCAAAGGAGACUGCCAGUGAUAAACUGGAGGAAGGUGGGGAUGACGUCAAGUCAUCAUGGCCCUUACGACCAGGGCUACACACGUGCUACAAUGGCAUAUACAAAGAGAAGCGACCUCGCGAGAGCAAGCGGACCUCAUAAAGUAUGUCGUAGUCCGGAUUGGAGUCUGCAACUCGACUCCAUGAAGUCGGAAUCGCUAGUAAUCGUAGAUCAGAAUGCUACGGUGAAUACGUUCCCGGGCCUUGCACUCACCGCCCGUCA